rnacentral:rRNA from 1 species
CCUACGGGCGGCAGCAGUAGGGAAUCUUCCACAAUGGGCGAAAGCCUGAUGGAGCAACGCCGCGUGGGUGAAGAAGGUCUUCGGAUCGUAAAACCCUGUUGUUAGAGAAGAAAGUGCGUGAGAGUAACUGUUCACGUGUCGACGGUAUCUAACCAGAAAGUCACGGCUAACUACGUGCCAGCAGCAGCGGUAAUACGUAGGUGGCAAGCGUUAUUCGGUUUUAUUGGGCGUAAAGGGAACGCAGGCGGUCUUUUAAGUCUGAUGUGAAAGCCUUCGGCUUAACCGGAGUAGUGCAUUGGAAACUGGGAGACUUGAGUGCAGAAGAGGAGAGUGGAACUCGAGGUGUAGCGGUGAAAUGCGUAGAUAUAUGGAAGAACACCAGUGGCGAAAGCGGCUCUCUGGUCUGUAACUGACGCUGAGGUUCGAAAGCGUGGGUAGCGAACAGGAUUAGAUACCCCAGUAGUC